ensembl:lncRNA
UGCCUGAGCAUGAUCACAACAAAAGUAGCUGUGCAGCACGUUUUUUAAGGAAGAGGAGGAUAGUUGCAGACGUUAGCAUUCAUGCAAGAAGAUGUGAGACACCAAGGCUGCCAGUACCUCUGGAUCGAUUGUCCAUGUGUUGGAUGAUGCACAACCGUUGAUCAGAACAGACAUUGUAUAAUUGACCAAAGCUAUGCUUGGAUACAAGACUGAUGACUUAAUAACCAGUAUUGACAACAGUGAAGAUGGUUAUGUCCCAGGGCCAUCAGGAUCAUCAGAGCAAGGCAAUUUCUAUGAAGAAAAUCUGACCGGAGAGAUGUCAGCGAUUCGGGCCAAUGACCAAGGGAAAGCUGGGACAAAAGAGAGGUUCACACGAAAUGGAUGCUGCGGCCACUGAUUGCGCAUCAGAGAAUGACUCUGAGAAAGAGGAAUCGUCUGAAGAAUCCUAUGAAGAAAAUCUGACUGGUAUGCCGAAACCUUACAUACACAUGGACCUAUUCUUAAUUACAAUGUCCUUUUCAACAUGUUUUCCAGGAGACAUGUCAGCGAUUCGGGCCAAACAACCAAUGACCAAGGGAAAACUGGGACAAAAGAGAGGCUCACACGAAAGAGACUCUUCAUCCACCUCCAAGAUCGAGGGCAGUGAUGGAGAGACACACACUGGGAAGAAAGGCCCAGACUUAAAGUUAACGUCCCAGUGAAUGGGCUUCACUCUCUUCCUGCG